GACCUUCCCUAGGUUCGACCUCAGUGGGCAAGCUGGUUGGAGUUUCUCCACGGACCCUCUCCCACAGGCUGUCUCAGAAGGUAAAGCCAAAUUUUAAUUAUAUGGAGUUUGGAUACCUAUGGGAAAUUCUACUAGAGUUGUCCAAUAGGAAGCUUUCCUGGGCUGGUAAUAUUCAUCUCACAGUCAUCAAUAUAAAAUUUGUAGUGAAAACUAAUAGAGUGGGUGAAAUCACCUACUAUGCAAUACAGCUAUUUCAGUGGGAAAAGAAAGAACUGUGAGAAAUAACAUUUCAUAAGUGUGAAGAGGAAGAGAAAAACAUUAAUUAAACAGCCACUAAAGAAAUAUUUGUUGUUUUUACUGUAGGUAAGGUCCUAUGCUAGGCCCUGAGGUUAUCUCUUUAAAUAUGAAUCCCAGGCCAGAAAGAGAAAACAAGUGAUACAGAUAAUUAAUUGCAGCUGUGUUAACUGCUCUAAGGUAAAAUUGCAGGGUAAGUGAUACUGCAAAGAAAGGGAAUUUCAUCUAGUCUGGGAAGCUUCUUUUAAAGUAGUGGAAUUAGAGAAAUUAGUGGUGAUUGAUGUUAAUUAGAAGAAGAUAUAGGACAAGUGAAGUUGCAGUCUAAGGAACUUAGACUUUAUAGGCAAUAAGGUAGUCAUGGAGAAGAAAAAUAGAUGUGAACCAAAAUUCAUAUCAAAAUGAUUAAUUUAUGAGAAUUCAAUGAGAAAUCAGUGAAGUUAUAAAUCUCUAGCUGGGAUUGAAGAAAGAAGAAGAUGC
rnacentral:lncRNA from 1 species